UCCGCAAGCUGCCAUUCCAGCACCUGCUCCGCUGCCUGGCACCCCACGACCCCCGCUCCCUGCAGCAGUUCGCCCGCUGCCUGAGUGUGCUCCUCAGCGUGCUGCUGCUGAUCCGUUUGCUGCUGAUCCGUUUGCUGCUGAUCCGUUUGCUGCUGCUGCGGCGGCGGCGGCGGCGGCGGCUGCUCUGCUUGUUGCCAGUCCAUCAACGGCUCCUGAGGCAGCGACGGCAACGGUGGCAGUGGCGCCUGCGGCGUCGACAACAAAGGCUCAAAAUAUGCGCCAAUCGCCUCUGCGACGACGUUAGAAGGCUGCGGCAAGGGAAGCUGAACCUCCUCGUCGCCGGCGGCGGCGGCGACGGCGGCGGCACCAGCCGCAGCGGAGGAUAUGGAACCGGCGGCAAGUACGGGUUCCGGGAUGCAUCCGCCGACGACAGAAGCAGCUGCGGUGGCGGGUAGCGGCGCUGAGUACGGCGAAGGGGUCAACAAAGUCAACCCAGAGAUGGAUAGGAGAGGGUCUGAAGGGCCACCCAUCAUGGAGGCGAGGUCGAUUCCGUACGUGCUGCCGUACGUGUUGCCGUACGGCUCCAUCAAACGGAGGUUGCUGCUGACAUCGCAGACGUCUUGCAGCCCGUAACUCAAGGGACCGUUCAUUGGGUACAGGCCGCCGCCGUUGACGGCGGCGGAAAGACCGCCGUUAGCAGCGGCGGCGGCGGCGGCACCUGGCGGUGAGGGUGGCGCCAGCGGCGCCGCCACGACGCUGUCGUCGACUGCUUCUAUUGCAAUGGCGGCGGCGGCGGCAGCUGCCCCCACCCCUACCGCUGCCGCCUCCGCCACUUCCUGACAGUACAAAUCCGCAUCAACUGCGGGGCAAAUAAACGGAGAAAACGUUGCUGGGACGGCACUCGAUCGUUCGGUCGGCCCUGGCUGUACGGCUGUGUACGGCGUCAUUGGCGUCGCGAAGAACGGCUGGGGCCCGAAGGCGCCGCCAGGUUCUACGAGCGACGGGACGGCGUGCNNNNNNNNNNNNNNNNNNNNNNNNNNNNNNNNNNNNNNNNNNNNNNNNNNCGGCGGUGGCGGCGUCAAGGGCUGCCGCGUCAGCGGGUACGGCAUCAUCAUUCACAGUUGGGAUAUCCGCCACAUGGUCGUCGUACAUUACACCCGGCAGUAGUUGACCGCCUGCGUCAGCGGCGACAUGUACGUCACCCUCCCGUAUCGCACCGCUGCCAGAACCGCAGCUGGCUUCGGCUGCCGCCGCCGCCCCGGAAUGCACCGCCGCUAUUGCUGCUACAGCUGCUCCCGCCGCUGCCGCCGCCCCACGCUGCACCUUGAUGUCGGUCCUGAUGGGCCCUACAACUGCGUCAGCUGCCACCUCGUCGAUGACCUCCCAGGCAGUAGCAGCGGCCCCUUCAGCGGCGGCAGGCGCGACAGCCUCCUCAGCCGCCACAGUGGACGCGCCGCCGCCCAACACGGCUACUGCCCAAGCACCGGAGCCUCCAACCGCCCAACACUGAGAACCCUGUGCAGCGCCCACGGGUGCGACAUCGCCACUGACGGCAGUAGCAGCCGCCGCAGUAGCAGCAUUGGCCGCGACCCCGCCGGGAGCAGCACCACGAGCACCGGUCACGGCCCCCUCGGCAGUAGCACCGGCAGUAGCAGUGAAAGCAGCAACGGCGCCACUGGCAACGGCGCCGGCAGGCAAGAUCUCCCUCUGGUGCGAUGAAACUGCAACAUCCCGACUCUCCCGCUGCUGCUGCUGCUGCUGCUGCUGCUGUAACUCCAGGAGGCUGCCAUCGGCAACUGUCUCAGCCGCCGCCAUCGCUGUCCGCAACCCAGGCUCGGACUGCUCUGGGGUUGACUUCAGAAGUAGCUGCUGCUGCUGCUGUUGCUGCUGCUGUUGCUGCUGCUGUUGCUGCUGCGGUGGCACUGGCGGCAGUGAUGACGGCGACGGCGGCGGCGGCGGCUUCAAUGCCUCUUCCGUCUGCUGCGGUAGAGGUGAGUGUGGUAAGGGGGGCAGCGGCGGCUGAUCCAAGAGCUGUGUCUCCUGCCCCAGCGCCAAGUCGUUUUGGUGCUGCUUCUGCUGCGGCUGUUGCGGCAGCGGUAGCGCUGGCGCCAGUAGUCCCUGUAACCCCGGCUGCUGCUGCUGCUGUAGUUGCGCAGGCGCCUGCAGCUGCGGAGGCUCCGCCGAUUGUUGUUGUUGGUCGUGGUGCUGCUGCUGCAGUGGCAACGGUGGGGGCGGCUCCAGUACCUCCGAAGGCUGCUGCAGCUCUAGCUGCUGUUGCUGCUUGUGUUGCUGCCCAUUAUGCUGCUGCUGAUGAUGAGUAUAAGGCAGAGGCAGCGGCGCCGGCGGCGACGGAGGCACGUGCAACGUUAGCGGCUGGUCUUGCCGCUGCAGUACUGCAUCCGCAAGCUGCCAUUCCAGCACCUGCUCCGCUGCCUGGCACCCCACGACCCCCGCUCCCUGCAGCAGUUCGCCCGCUGCCUGAGUGUGCUCCUCAGCGUGCUGCUGCUGAUCCGUUUGCUGCUGAUCCGUUUGCUGCUGAUCCGUUUGCUGCUGCUGCGGCGGCGGCGGCGGCGGCGGCUGCUCUGCUUGUUGCCAGUCCAUCAACGGCUCCUGAGGCAGCGACGGCAACGGUGGCAGUGGCGCCUGCGGCGUCGACAACAAAGGCUCAAAAUAUGCGCCAAUCGCCUCUGCGACGACGUUAGAAGGCUGCGGCAAGGGAAGCUGAACCUCCUCGUCGCCGGCGGCGGCGGCGACGGCGGCGGCACCAGCCGCAGCGGAGGAUAUGGAACCGGCGGCAAGUACGGGUUCCGGGAUGCAUCCGCCGACGACAGAAGCAGCUGCGGUGGCGGGUAGCGGCGCUGAGUACGGCGAAGGGGUCAACAAAGUCAACCCAGAGAUGGAUAGGAGAGGGUCUGAAGGGCCACCCAUCAUGGAGGCGAGGUCGAUUCCGUACGUGCUGCCGUACGUGUUGCCGUACGGCUCCAUCAAACGGAGGUUGCUGCUGACAUCGCAGACGUCUUGCAGCCCGUAACUCAAGGGACCGUUCAUUGGGUACAGGCCGCCGCCGUUGACGGCGGCGGAAAGACCGCCGUUAGCAGCGGCGGCGGCGGCGGCACCUGGCGGUGAGGGUGGCGCCAGCGGCGCCGCCACGACGCUGUCGUCGACUGCUUCUAUUGCAAUGGCGGCGGCGGCGGCAGC
rnacentral:lncRNA from 1 species